rnacentral:rRNA from 1 species
GCCAGACUCCUACGGGAGGCAGCAGUGGGGAAUAUUGCACAAUGGGGGAAACCCUGAUGCAGCGACGCCGCGUGAGUGAAGAAGUCAUUCGUGAUGUAAAGCUCUAUCAGCAGGGAAGAAAAUGACGGUACCUGACCAAGAAGCCCCGGCUAACUACGUGCCAGCAGCCGCGGUAAUACGUAGGGGGCAAGCGUUAUCCGGAUUUACUGGGUGUAAAGGGAGCGUAGACGGUUGCGCAAGUCUGGAGUGAAAGGCGGGGGCCCAACCCCCGGACUGCUCUGGAAACUGUGUAACUGGAGUGCAGGAGAGGUAAGUGGAAUUCCUAGUGUAGCGGUGAAAUGCGUAGAUAUUAGGAGGAACACCAGUGGCGAAGGCGGCUUUCUGGACUGAAACUGACGCUGAGGCACGAAAGCGUGGGGAGCGAACAGGAUUAGAUACCCGCGUAA